rnacentral:rRNA from 1 species
UACGUAGGGGGCAAGCGUUGUCCGGAUUUAUUGGGCGUAAAGAGCGUGUAGGCGGUUAGGUAGGUCCGUUGUGAAAACUCGAGGCUCAACCUCGAGACGCCGAUGGAAACCAUCUAACUAGAGUCCGGAAGAGGAGAGUGGAAUUCCUGGUGUAGCGGUGAAAUGCGCAGAUAUCAGGAAGAACACCCGUGGCGAAAGCGGCUCUCUGGAACGGUACUGACGCUGAGACGCGAAAAGCGUGGGGAGCGAACAGG